GCGUUUUGCAUAUAGUUAGUUAAUAAUGUUCAUAUUUUAGAGCCAUUUUCCAUCCUCCAUCGGCUAAUAAGUGGUGUUUUCCGUCUACAUUAAGUACCUCUCUUUAUGAAUAAUAUUCUUAUAUCGGAUAUUUCCAAACUUUUCGUGUACAUUCGAUUUCGAUAGCUGUUGCGAUGUUGCCUAGGUAACUACGUAUAAAACCUUGGAACACGGUAAUUGAUUAUUGAUAAUUUGUUUACGUACGGCGAAAACCCCACCAAUUGAUUUCCGCCGUCAUAACAACCCACUUUCUUGUUGUAAACAAAUUUGUAAAUAAAUAAAAAUUUUACUUGCGUUCAGCAAGCAUGUUUUUCGCAAUAAACCUUUAGAAUGCGACGUUGGAAUAGAUUGAAAUUUUUUGUAGAUUUAUUAAUGUCAUGUAUGAUUUAACAAACGUUUAUCGUCCGUUUGGCCAUGCUCAAA